rnacentral:rRNA from 1 species
UACGUAGGGUGCAAGCGUUGUCCGGAAUUAUUGGGCGUAAAGCGCUUGUAGGCGGUUUGUCGCGUCUGCUGUGAAAUUUCGGGGCUCAACCCCGAACUUGCAGUGGGUACGGGCAGGCUAGAGUGUGGUAGGGGAGACUGGAAUUCCUGGUGUAGCGGUGAAAUGCGCAGAUAUCAGGAGGAACACCGGUGGCGAAGGCGGGUCGCUGGGCCGAUACUGACGCUGAGGAGCGAAAGCGUGGGGAGCGAACAGG